rnacentral:lncRNA from 1 species
UGAAUAAAAUCACAUUAUUUUGUUACUGCUCGAAAAAUAUCAAAAAAUUUAAUUCGUAAAUGUCUGGAAAAAAAAACAAGAACAAAAUCACAUUAUUGAAUGGCACAUGUCACCUUAGAAUAUCUAUACGAAUAAAAUAUAAAAAAAUCACAUUUUCUCGCGACUACCCAAAAAUAUCAAAAAUUUUAAUAUUAAACGUCCAAAAAAUAUAAAAAUCAAGAAAAAGAUAGUAAAACAUUUCAAAAAAUUCAC